rnacentral:misc_RNA from 1 species
AUGAACAAGAAGAAAAAAAAAGAAAAGAAAAAUACAAGAAUUUUCGGUGCAAUGAUGAAAUAGACUUAAAAGUCAAGGAGAAGUUGGAAAAACAACUGGUCGAACAACAACUCGUUACCAACGAACUUUCUUCGAUCGUCGCUGGGGAGAUGUUCACCGAAGAUUGCAGAACUUUUAUUUUUGGGACUUUAACUACAUACUGGCGUUGAAAACACAUUUCCAUCAUUGUCAUGGAAGAAACCACAAACUACGAAAACACGAAAUUCAUAUCAGCUGACAAAACGUUUCAAGCGAGAACGUUCGAUCAAGAACAAAUAGACUCGAAA